GGCCCCUCGCCGGCAGCGCUCGGGUGGGUCCCAGGAGCUGCCCAGGGGGACGGGGGGGUCCCACUGGUGCGAGCCUCCCUCCCUCCCUGUCCCUGCAGCUCCUCCCUGCCCUCCCCCAGCCGCGCUCUCCGCGUCCUGCGGCGGCUCCGGCAGCAAAUCCAGCGGCGCCUCGGGCAGUGGCAGCGGCUGCAGGGAGCCCUGGGAGCCGCCGGACAGAGGCAGGAGGUGAUUUGGGGGCUGGGAGGAAGGACACGGAGCCCAUGGCAGCAUCAGCCCCGUUCCUCGCCCUUGGAGCUCUCCCUUUGGGGCUCGGGGGGUGCCAGCCCUGGUUCUGUCCCCGAGGAGGAGGAGGAGGAGGAGCAGAGGCAGCAGCCGGAGAAGGUCCCAGCUCCAGGAGCCCCGAGGGAGCCCCUGGUCCAGGGACAGAGGGAACAUCCCCAUCCCUCCCCGGCCCUGAGCUCCCGGGGGCUCCUGCAGCAGCUCCAGCAGCACUUCCAGGAGCUGCAGCUGGAGAAGACACGGGACACGGGGAGCCCGACGGCCCUGGGGGACAAUUGGGCACCAGAGAGGAGACCCGGGGCCAGCCCGAGGUGGGGACUCCCCCUCUGGCACCGGCCCAGCGCUGACCCAAGGAAAGGAAGAGGGGCAGAGCUCCAUCACGGAGCACAAUUCCCGGUGGGAACAGCCUCCAGGCAGGUCCCACCAGCACCACCCCACGGCACCAGUGAUCCCAGGGUCACUGUUCCAUCCUGAGGGAAUCAGCUGGGAUGGCCAUGCAAUCCCAGGGAUCAGGCACAGGGCUCCCACAUCCUCUUCCCACCCUGCAGCUCCUCCCCUGGUCACUCUCCCAUCUCUCACUCCGGGACAGAGCCGGGGGGGAGUGCAGGUGCCAUUUUAUUUUCUGUUCCACCACAGUUGGAUAUUUGGGAAAAAUUCCAAGCUGAAAAGGAAGUUAAACACUGGCCCAAGCUGCCCAGGGCGGUGGUGAAAUCACCAUCCCUGGAAGUGUCAAAAAAACGGGUCCAUGUGGCACUUUGGGAUGGGGUUUAGUGGGAUUUGCUCAAAGGUUGGACUUGAUGGUCUUGGAGGUCUUUUCCAGCCCUAAUGAUUCCAUGAUUCUGAGUUUUCUCCCUGGACACUGAGGUCUCAGUUAUGGAAUUACAAUAGUCAGAACAAAGCUCCUGAAAAUUCCUCAAAAAGCACCACGAGGUUGUGACAGAUCCUGGAGCUGCCAAGUGCCCUUGGCCAAGUGGGAUCUGCCCAUGGAGCCAGGCUGGGAUCGCUGACCCCGGGACAGAGAAAACCCAAGGAAAUUGUUCUGUUUGGAUGCUUUAAUUUAAUUUGGAAAAGGAGAAACCCAUUCCUCCAUCUCUGCACAUCUUGGGAAAUGCUGGUUUUAAUUUGCAGGAGAAUAUCCAAGGAAAGUUUCUCCACGUGCAAAGGGAAAAAUGGGAGUUUCUUGCAGGAUUUCAUUGCUGUGCCCAGGGGAGGGAAUGGAUGAGGAUUGAAAUAUUUGUGUGUUUUCUUUCCAAUGAAAAUAAAAGUGAGUAUUGUUUGUUUCUCUGCA
rnacentral:lncRNA from 1 species